rnacentral:rRNA from 1 species
GACGAACGCUGGCGGCGUGCCUAAUACAUGCAAGUUGAGCGCUGAAGGUUGGUACUUGUACCAACUGGAUGAGCAGCGAACGGGUGAGUAACGCGUGGGGAAUCUGCCUUUGAGCGGGGGACAACAUUUGGAAACGAAUGCUAAUACCGCAUAAAAACUUUAAACACAAGUUUUAAGUUUGAAAGAUGCAAUUGCAUCACUCAAAGAUGAUCCCGCGUUGUAUUAGCUAGUUGGUGAGGUAAAGGCUCACCAAGGCGAUGAUACAUAGCCGACCCGAGAGGGUGGUCGGCCACAUGGGGACGGAGAAACGGCCAAAACCCCUACGGGGGGCAGAAGUAGGGAAUCUUCGGAAAGGGACGAAAGUCGGACCGAGAAACGCCGCGGGGGUGAAAAAGGUGUUGGGAUCGUAAAACUUUGUUGGUAGAGAAGAACGUGGGGGAGAGUGGAAAGCUCAUAAAGUAACGGUAACAACCCAGAAGGGGACGGCUAACUACGU